CUAAGCUUGACAUCCUUUUGACCGAUGCCUAAUCGCAUCUUUCCCUUCGGGGACAGAAGUGACAGGUGGUGCAUGGUUGUCGUCAGCUCGUGUCGUGAGAUGUUGGGUUAAGUCCCGCAACGAGCGCAACCCUUGCCUUUAGUUGCCAGCAUUAAGUUGGGCACUCUAGAGGGACUGCCAGGGAUAACCUGGAGGAAGGUGGGGAUGACGUCAAAUCAUCAUGCCCCUUAUGCUUAGGGCUACACACGUGCUACAAUGGGUGGUACAGAGGGCAGCCAAGUCGUGAGGCGGAGCUAAUCCCUUAAAGCCAUUCUCAGUUCGGAUUGUAGGCUGAAACUCGCCUACAUGAAGCUGGAGUUACUAGUAAUCGCAGAUCAGAAUGUCGCGGUGAAUGCGUUCCC
rnacentral:rRNA from 1 species